CCCUUAGAUGUUCUGGGCCGCACGCGUGCUACACUGAGUGGAUCAGCGGGUCAGGUUGCGCGAAAGUGUUUCCUAAUCUUGAAAUCCGCUCGUGAUGGGGAUUGACGGUUGCAAUUUUCCGUCAUGAACGAGGAAUACCUUGUAAGCGCGGGUCAUCAUCCCGCGCUGAAUACGUCCCUGCCCUUUGUACACACCGCCCGUCGCUCCUACCGAUUGAGUGGUCCGGUGAGGCUUUGGGAUCUGAGCAAAGAGAGCGCUUCGCUCGUUUUGCUCGGAAAACUCAGUCGAACCUUAUCAUUUAGAGGAAGGAGAAGUCGUAACA
rnacentral:rRNA from 1 species